rnacentral:lncRNA from 1 species
CGAGCGCCGCCGGUCUUCGUGCACAACUGGCCACCGCUGCCUCCUGCGCCAACUAUGUCCCGAGACUAGCCAUGGUGGUGGAUCCAAGAUUCGCCGAGGGAAAAGGGGAGCUGCUGCUCCCUGUUGAUGGCCGGUCCUUGCCACCGACCGCGGCACUCCCGACGUGUCCGAGCGCGAGCGCCCCUAGAGGCUUGCUCCCCUGCACCCCUGAACCAGCGCCAUCCACCACUCGAGCAGGAUGGCAAUGGCGACAACAUCCAGCGGUCCUCCUCUGCCUCUGCUUGCCCUGCGUUCAUCACUGGCCAACCGUGCAAAUCCAUGUAAAAUGAGUUCAGGUAAGUUUAGAUCCCUGUACAAAUUUCAGCUAAGAUUCAAGCACAUUUCUUGCUGGCCACACAAUGCUUGAACUGAUGGCCUUGAUUUAUGCGUGCUGAUGGCCACCUGCCUAGGCAAGCACAUUUCCUUACUUGCCUAGCUACUAGCCGGAUUCUUGUUCUGUUAUGGGUGCCGUGGUUAUUAGAACUUUAAUUGCAGCUACUAUUACAGUGUGUGGGUACAUGACUGAAACUGUAUGAUGUGUGUGCCAUGGUUACCUGAACCUUAAUUGCAGCUACUAUUACAGUGUGUGCGUACAUGACUGAAACUGUAUGAUGUGUGUACCAUGGUUACUUGAACUUCAAUUCUAGCUACUAUUCAAAUCUAAUACUAGCACGUACAAGACUAGACUCGUACUACUGCGUACUAGUGUGCCUUUUGCUUAUUCUUUCGUUGAACUUUCCAUGCUCUCUAUUCUUUCAGAGAUAUGUUCAAAGCUAGUUCCUCAGAGGUGUAUUCUUUCAUAGAUAUGUUAAAGCUAGUUCUUUAUUCUUUCAGAGAUAUGUUGUUUUCAUACUUUCAGCUCACAUUGUAGCUUUUUUCAGUUCAAUGGAUUCCAAAAAGGAAAAAAUUAUGGUUGGGUGAGAAAUCAACUUCCUGUACAGUUCUGCCAUGAGCAUAGGACGACCCCGACCACUGGCACCACUGCUUCCCGACCUCUUGCUUGCAUCGCCAUCUCCCGGUGGGGCUUUGCCGCCGGAGCACCCUGGUCGUUCACAGCCACCACUCCAGGCCGUUGAAAUAAAUCAAGCAGUGUUUUGUCGACAACAUGGUGAUAGCCCUUCACUGAAAUAAAUCAGGUAUGUUAGCCGCAGGAGUUCAAAAAUCAGCUGCUUUUCAACAGAAUAAAAUGUGUCACGCAAGUUCAAGUAUACCUACAACAGGAGUUCAAAAAUCUGAGAAAUGAAGCUCAAACCAAGUUCAAAAAUUGUUUCCUUCAUAAAUUAGUUGUUUUUGGUUAAUUCGUUGUUAUGGACAAUACAAAUACACACUGCUGUGUGGUACAUGUGUGUAUUGUAAGUGUAACAGUGCUUUGUAAUUAUAAUAGUACAUGUAUUCUAUUUUUUUGAGUUAGCAUGUAUUCUGGUGUUUUUGGUGGUUGGUAAGUUCACCGAUCAAAAUCUAAAAAGUUCAUACUCAAGAGGCGAGUAAGUUUGAUGGAUUGUCUAAAUUUUCUUUACUGGGAAAAAUCGGGAGUUAAAAAGAAGCCAUGUAGAAGUUUUUUUUUGAUUUUUUCUCAAUUGCUACUGUACUUUGCAGUUCGGCCAGUUCUUGUGUUAGUGCUUCAAAAUUAGCGCCAAAACUAGGGUAAACCAUGAUGCAUGGUAGAACAGGUUAUGCUUUUGCUUUUCAAUUAUUUUUCCUUGUUGACGAUUCGACAUUUGCACCUUUGGCUUGUAGGUAGAUAUGACAAAAAGAUUACUGUUUAAUGUACCAAUGUUCAAUCUCUUCGUAAUUCAUUCAGUCCAAAUCCAACACAUGCAAAAGAAAGGUGUGUUGAGUGAUUUUCUAGAUGUGUGUGUGUCUUCUGAUUCUGUGAUCUGUCCUUUUUGCCAAUCAAUAUCACU